GUAUAAAUCAUAAGAGAUAAACAUUGAUUCAUCCAAGGAUUCAGCUAUAAGCAGAAUGGUUGAAGAGUACCAUCACAUCAACUUAAUUACUCCUGGAAACCAAUGCCAUAAGGACAGGAGACCACUCUGUACGUCAUACUUUCCCUAAAAACACCAGUUUGAACUCAUUCAUCUCUCUCUCUCUCUCUCUGAUAUUGGGAC
rnacentral:lncRNA from 1 species